rnacentral:lncRNA from 1 species
CUUUACCUUAUGUUAUAGGAGGGCUGAUGGAGAAGCAGAUGACGUGGAGCUUAACCCUUUUUAACUUAACAUCUUGUAAUGUUUUUUUGCUUGCAGUCCCAGAAAUACAUGGGGGAGUCGAAGAUCUAAACCUUUCUAAUCUAUUGAUAGGAAAUGAAAAGUAACCCAGAAAUGUAAUUUAAGGAUGACCUCUCCAGUGGGUGAAUAUGAAAAACAGGCUUGUUUUCUUUUCUAAAGAAAUGCUGGCAUGCUUGACUUUAGUGAAUCAAGAGAAUUGUUUGGCAAAUAACAGUGAUGGCUUGUGUCCUUGUCAGAACACCUGCUGUAUUCUCCCGGCAAACACUGGGGCCAUGGUGUUUCUCCUCUAAUGACACCUCAUCAAUCUGCUCCUAUCAACGUCCCAGCCAUGGAGGUGACUUGGAGUGCUCAGAAGCUAUAGAAAAUGUCAACGUUUUGGGAGAAAAGAUCAGGCAGUGGACAUGCAUCUGGUCCUGCCAGCAUUACGAGUGCCGGCCUCCAAUCUGCAGCAGAUAAAAGACAGGGAUCAGAGCCACAUGCCCUAGCUGCCAACCAUGGAGCUCUCAGCAACCUCGAGACAUGUCAGGUUGCUGACGGAUACAACUUCCUUGUGAUACAGAAGAGGGCAGUGAUGUUUCAUUUUUGGGGACCGGAAUCAGCAGGGGUACCAGCUGUACAAACUGAUGUGCAAAGAAGUUACUCUGCAAGGGAUACUUGA